rnacentral:lncRNA from 1 species
CACGUAUAUACUACCAUAUGUCCCUCCGAUGCCACCAAGCCUACCUCAAUUUGAUCGUAAAAAGACUCGAAUACUAAACCAAAACCAUAGCAGAUGAAGGUGAUGAAGUACGAUUACUGAAACGAAGAUGGUCUACCACAAGCCGAUGGCCUUCCACCAAACACCUCCAACUCCGAGCCAGAUAAUAAGAUUGACUACGGAGAUCAAGAAUCCGUAGCCCCACCAUUUGGCAAGUGACACGUAGCCAGCGCCAUAAAACACGGGUGCUGAUCCAAUUCCGUAAUGUGUAAUGCCACCCAUAAGAUUAGACAGAAAGGAGAGGACCAUGGCUGCGAGAUAUGGUGGUGUACCCAAAGCACUAGCUACGGAUAAGAAUGCUGUAAACAUGGCGCCGAUAUGAGCAGCCCCACUUGCGAAGAAAUAGUGAGAAUAGAAGUAAAGAAGAACCAGAAUGCCAAAAGAUGACUGCCAUGGAAGUCCCAAUCCACCAACAAACUGCAAAGAAAGCAUAUAAAAUAAGUCGGCUAACUAGAACGGAAUGGAAUGAGCUGUUCCAAUGAGAAAGAUGAAGUUAUGUUAAAAAUUAAAAUUUUACUAUUAUAGGAUAGAGGGACAUUGAAAAUAGGUCCGAAACGCAGAUACGUUUAUAAAACUAUACCAUGUAUUUUCCAAGGGUUGAAAAUGGAAAGGCAAAAUGACGAAGAAAUAUAAAUCGUGAUUUCCACAUAGUAAUGCUCAAGUAAAUUCCAAAAGAACACAAUAAAAGUAACUGGUUAAAAUCGUAAUGACACAAUAAUAAUAUUGUUUAUCAUCCUAAAAUAGUUUCAAUGUUUCGUUGCAUAAUGCAGAGCAGAUGAGGAACCUAACAAGUGAAAGAUGGAAUUGCAGAAACUACAAAGCAAACCAGCAGUUUCCGUUUAUUUAAAUAUUUAUACGCAUACCACUAAGAGAAAAAGGGAUAUGUCUCCACGUUUCAUGGAGGCCAUGCCCAGUCAUGGGAGAAUAAUAAAGCACUUGACAGUUAAUGGGUUUAGGAGAUCUCAUGUUUCGACCCUACCAGAAUAAAACCCCAACUAUAUAUUGGAUCACAUCAAGUGUCAUAACUUAUUGCUCAUCGUAGGGGAAAAAUGAACAAAAGUUAUUACAAUUAGAAGUUUUUAAGAGCCAUUAGAAACUCUGGUUGUCAGGACUCAGGUCUAUAUAAGUUUUUUACCAAUGUAAAAUUGAUGCACUUUAUUUAGAGAAAUAAAAUAAAACCAACCUUAACAACAGUUUGGCUAAACCAGGAGAUGAGUCCAUAUUUGUUUAGAUACCCAGCCAUAGCAAUAAGUGCAGCAAACCAAGUAAGUGUGUCCCAAGCAACGGAUUCAGCUAGGCAUUCCUUCCACGUGACAACCCCAGUCACAAGGAGGACAGCUAAUCCAAGAAUUGCUGCAGUAACAGCAUCGAUGUUCAGGGUACCUCCAAAAAUCCAUAGCCCCACCUGGUAGAAGAAAUAUCAAGAAAAGUGAUUUUACAAGCAAUCAAGCCAAAAGAACAGAAUAAUUCGUUAGUGCAUUGCAUGAGAAGACCAGAAUUAUGCAGUGCACUAAAUCAAAACAUAAGUAAAAGAGGAACAAAAAAGGAAAAAAAAAACAUGGGACAUUCAAUAAAAAUAAUGGAAUAUGCAAUUUCAAUGUCAAAAUUCAAGCACAAUCCUAAAUUGAGCCAUAAAUAGCACGUAUAUACUACCAUAUGUCCCUCCGAUGCCACCAAGCCUACCUCAAUUUGAUCGUAAAAAGACUCGAAUACUAAACCAAAACCAUAGCAGAUGAAGGUGAUGAAGUACGAUUACUGAAACGAAGAUGGUCUACCACAAGCCGAUGGCCUUCCACCAAACACCUCCAACUCCGAGCCAGAUAAUAAGAUUGACUACGGAGAUCAAGAAUCCGUAGCCCCACCAUUUGGCAAGUGACACGUAGCCAGCGCCAUAAAACACGGGUGCUGAUCCAAUUCCGUAAUGUGUAAUGCCACCCAUAAGAUUAGACAGAAAGGAGAGGACCAUGGCUGCGAGAUAUGGUGG